rnacentral:rRNA from 1 species
CACUAGUGAUUCUCCUGGAAACGGGUGGUAAUGCCGGAUGCUCCGGUUGGAUGCAUGUCCUUCCGGGAAAGAUUUCAUCGGUAUGGGAUGGGGUCGCGUCCUAUCAGGUAGUCGGCGGGGUAACGGCCCACCGAGCCUACGACGGGUAGCCGGCCUGAGAGGGCGACCGGCCACAUUGGGACUGAGAUACGGCCCAGACUCCUACGGGAGGCAGCAGUGGGGAAUAUUGCACAAUGGGCGCAAGCCUGAUGCAGCGACGCCGCGUGCGGGAUGACGGCCUUCGGGUUGUAAACCGCUUUUGAUCGGGAGCAAGCCUUCGGGUGAGUGUACCUUUCGAAUAAGCACCGGCUAACUACGUGCCAGCAGCCGCGGUAAUACGUAGGGUGCAAGCGUUAUCCGGAAUUAUUGGGCGUAAAGGGCUCGUAGGCGGUUCGUCGCGUCCGGUGUGAAAGUCCAUCGCUUAACGGUGGAUCCGCGCCGGGUACGGGCGGGCUUGAGUGCGGUAGGGGAGACUGGAAUUCCCGGUGUAACGGUGGAAUGUGUAGAUAUCGGGAAGAACACCAAUCGAAUUU